UCUGAGUUGGGGCAAGAACUUUCUGAGUGCUACUGCAGCCACCCAAACCUUGGCUACAGACCCAGGCCUCCUGCUUUAUGGAGCAAGCAGGAGCCCUGUCCUCCUGGGUGGGGCUACAGCUGUCCAAACUGCAGCUGUGGAGUCUCCCUGUGUUCUUGCAGGAUCUGCCCUCCUGGGUGCCCUCCCCCUCCCACUCCCCUCUUCCUGAAAAGAUUGUUCCUGGGUCAUCUCUAAAGCAGGGUUCUCUAUCAUCAGAUGUAGAUGAGUGCUCUCUGGCAUGUGGUCCUAGUAACCAACUAUGUCAUAAUACCCCAGGCUGUUACUCUUGCAACUGUAUUCAAGGCCACUAGCUCCACAGUGGCACCAACUGUCAAGUUACAGGAUCACUGGAGAGAAUUUAAGUUCCACACUGAAUGCAGCCUGGAUGAUGUUGUUUUCCACAAUGUGCUGGCAAAAUGCCAGACAUCCGAAAACAUGCUGGGUGAACAACCUACACAAUGGAGGGGAGGAUGGUUGCCAAAGCACCUUGACAGCACCUCUGCAGCCUCCACAGUAGAUAACCCGAUCUCACUGUUCUCUUGGCAUCACUUGAGUAAUCGCGAAAAGACUUCAUCCAUUAAAUGGGGACGCUUACUUCCUCUGGGGAUUGGGAGGAUUAAAAAUGAGUCUGGUGGUGACAGAGGUCAGAAGGGCUUGAUUCAAGACAGCAGUACUUUGAGUGUGUUCUCUGUGGUGCGGUUGCAGUGCUGA
rnacentral:lncRNA from 13 species